UAUCUGUUUGCAUUUAACAGAGUGACUUUAAUUUCAGAACAUUGGGUUUCAAAUUAUACUAAAUAUGGCCUACAUUAUAAAUGUGUGUCUUGGUAAAAGAUCAAAUUCUUUUUAAAUGUAUAUGUUUAUGUGUAUGAGUGUUUGUGUGUAUGUGUGCACAGAGACCCCAGCCCAUGUGUGGAGAUGAGAGGACAACUUUCAGGCAUUCUAUCUUUCUACCAUGUGGGUUCCAGGUAUGACUCGGGUUGUCAGGCUUGAGGGUGUGUCCCUUCACCAGCUGUGCCAUUUCACCAGCCCCAAAAAGCAAACAUUUUAAGUUAGCUCUAAAAUUGAAUAGGCCUUUGCACAUAACUGACUUAGGUUAUUUUAGUGAACUGUCCCAUCUAGGCCAGUUGCUAGCAUCAUAGUUGUGUAUGUUAUGAGCUGUCAUGUCAUUUGUUUUGCUGUAGGGCUGAGCUGUCUGCUGCUGUCCCUGAGCAACAAAACUUAGUCUGACAGACACAGUGAGCGCAGACACUCAGCUUUCCACAGAGAAAGCCCUUCACCAUGGAUGGUGACACUUUCAACCCACGAGUCUAAUAGUGUCCAGUAGGUACAAAUUCUGUGCCAAAGCCGUUGUGCUUUCAUGAUAGAGAGCAACCUAUGCCGGAAUACUUGCUCACCUACUCAGCUCCCAAGGAGAGGUAAAAUCUUAAAGAAGAUACUUUCGUUGGGUUUAGUGCUUCUCAUGAAUCUUUGAGAAAUACUGUAUUUUCAUCCUCUCUAAGAGCCUUUUGGAAGCAACCCAAGGCUUUAGUUGGACUUUAGCAAGAAUUGAGGGGUUGCAGAUUCUGCAGUUACUGAACAGCAGCAGUGUUCCUGUUUGGAAACACCUCUCUGGUUCCGAACUUAAAAAAUAAACAAGAGCUCAGAUGUUCAAAAACUUGUUGAGGAGCGAUGAAGGAAAUAGAUGUAGUCUAGCAUGUUGCUCUCCAAAGCCAGGGUUCCAACCACUGCUGCAGCAGUAAAGUCGCAUAAUGCACUCUAGAGCAGAGCUAUCUACUAAAGCUCUGCAGGGAUGGAGGGCUUCUGCGCCAGCACUGUUCAGUAUUGACCACUGCCGUAUGUGACUGACCACUGAGCCAAGUGUGCCUCGUGUAUGUAAGGAAUGUGCUUGUUAAUCUGCUUAGCCCAUCUGGAUUUACAUUCACUCUGCAAUAGUGUUUGGCAUAGUGAGCAGUGGGAAUUGAAGCAUGAAUCUGUACUCCGGCAACCUUUUAAUUGUGUCCUGUGUAAUAGGACAUGCUUUUAUGCCUCCUGUUUAGUCAUUCAAAUGCUGCAGAGUACUUCCCUAAGAAUGGCUUUACUAUGGUAGUACUUUCUUAGAAUGGAGUUUGGUUUGCAGACAGUUGUAGUCUUUGCCAUCUUACUGACUGUUAACCUUGUAUGAACCACUUAACCCUGAUCUGUUUGUCUGGAAAGGGUAUAGAGAACAUAAGGUAUUUUGCCAAUUGUUUAGAAAUGUCACUUAUAUUGAAAUGUAUCUCCAGCUUAGACUCAAGCCAGUGAUCUUAUUAGUGAAACAACUAAGGUCUUAGGAGUCCCAGACUCUCUUAUGACACGGCUUGUAGGGUCUCCUUUACCACUUCUCACAGGAACCUCAAGCAAGCUGCGUCACAGGAAGUUUUUUCUCCACUCCUUCCCCCUAUUUUUUACAGUGCUGGCUCUCAACCCCGGUACCGUACACAAAUAAAGGGAAGAAUGAGAGAGGCAUACAGGAAGGGAGGGAGAAGAAAA